UCCGCCAUCGGCGCAGCACUGCGCGGGGACACGCCCCUCGCGAUAGGCCACGCCCCUCGCGAUAGGAGGCCACGCCCCCUCCCACGGGCAGCGUGACCACCGCACAGCCCGCCCGGGGGCACCGCGACGCGGUCACGGAGGGUGGCGAGAUGUCGCGAUGACCCCAGGAGCACGAUACCCACCAGCCUAUUGGUAAGGAGUUCAUCACGGUGACAGGACCAGGCAGCAGCCCCGCCAAACCCUACAGCAUCCUGAGUGUUCCCACCACGCGACCAAGAGGUGUCUGUGUCCUCGGAGACAUCCAAAACUCGGCCAGAACCGGGGCCGGUGACACCGGGAAGGCUGC